CUCUUCAACCAGUCGGCUGAGAGAAGAGUCAUCUUCACCAACUCCCAAGUGAGCUAGUGGUUUUGAAGUGUGGAUCAUCCCUCUGCACUCUUCUCGUUACAGUAGUGAAACCCUCUUUGCUCUCAGAUGGAAAGAGACCCACUUUGGACCUUACUAACCUACUCAGCACCAUAGGAGAUAAUGGCAGCGAGGUGGGGAUCGUGUCUGACCAGC
rnacentral:lncRNA from 1 species